rnacentral:rRNA from 1 species
GGCUCAGGAUGAACGCUGGCGGCGUGCCUAAUACAUGCAAGUCGAACGAGGUGCUCAAGUAGCAAUACGAGAGUAUCCUAGUGGCGAACGGGUGAGUAACGCGUUGGUGACCUGCCCCAAAGUGUGGGAUACCAGUUCGAAAGGACUGCUAAUACCGCAUGUGGUCUUCGGAUCCAGAAACCGAUGACUAAAGGAGUAAUCCGCUUUGGGAGGGACCUGCGUCCCAUCAGCUAGUUGGUAGGGUAACGGCCUACCAAGGCUACGACGGGUAGGGGACCUGAGAGGGUGACCCCCCACAAUGGAACUGAAACACGGUCCAUACACCUACGGGUGGCAGCAGUAGGGAAUAUUGCACAAUGGGCGAAAGCCUGAUGCAGCAACGCCGCGUGUGCGAAGAAGGCCUUCGGGUCGUAAAGCACUUUUCUGAGAGAUGAGAAAGGACAGUAUCUCAGGAAUAAGUCUCGGCUAACUACGUGCCAGCAGCCGCGGUAAAACGUAGGAGGCAAGCGUUAUCCGGAUUCACUGGGCGUAAAGCGCGUGCAGGCGGUUCGGUAAGUUGGGCGUGAAAUCUCCUGGCUCAACUAGGAGAGGUCGUUCAAUACUACCGGACUAGAGAGCGGUAGAGGAAGAUGGAAUUCCCGGUGUAGUGGUGAAAUGCGUAGAUAUCGGGAGGAACACCAGUGGCGAAGGCGAUCUUCUGGACCGUUUCUGACGCUCAGACGCGACAGCUAGGGUAGCAAACGGGAUUAGAGACCCCGGUAGUCCUAGCCGUAAACGAUGUGAACUUGGCGUCGGUGGGUUAAACUCCAUCGGUGCCGCAGCUAACGCGAUAAGUUCACCGCCUG